AGCUCCUCCAUCAAUACUUACAUUACAUGGUUCAUGAAGAUGAAAUUAGAGGGAAAUCAGAAGCUGGAAAAUGUUACACUGAUGAAUUUAAACAUUCCGAACAUACAAAGACAUGAGACAUCAUGCUGGAUUUAACCACCUCAGGUGAGUCAACUGCGACAAAUGCUUUUCUUAAGCAUUGACCACCAGGUGCACUUAAAAGCUUAACAAAUCUUGAUGUAAAAGACACAUGUUUUGUAACAAGAACUAGAAUCAAUUUAGACAGAAGGAGACAAACCCG
rnacentral:misc_RNA from 1 species